rnacentral:tRNA from 2 species
GCCGACUUAGCUCAGUGGUAGAGCAGCUGUUUUGUAAACAGCAGGUCGUCGGUCCAAUCCCGACAGUCGGCUCCC